GGUCCAGUGGCCUAAUGGAACAAGGCAUCAGCCUCUGGAGCUGGGGAUUGUGGGUUCAAGUCCCACCUGGAUUG